GAUCAUGGCUCAGAACGAACGCUGGCGGCGUGCUUAACACAUGCAAGUCGAACGUGAUUCAGCCUUCGGGCUGAUGAAAGUGGGGCACGGGUGAGUAACACGUGGAUAACCUGCCCCGUCAUCCGGAAUAACUUCUCGAAAGGGGGGCUAAUACCGGAUAAGCCCACGGCGUCUUCGGACGGUGCGGGAAAGGAUGGCCUCUGCUUGCAAGCUGUCGUAGCGGGAUGGGUCCGCGGCCUAUCAGCUGGUUGGUGGGGUAAAAGCCUACCAAGGCAACGACGGGUAGCUGGUCUGAGAGGAUGAUCAGCCACACUGGAACUGAGAUACGGUCCAGACUCCUACGGGAGGCAGCAGUGGGGAAUUUUGCGCAAUGGGCGAAAGCCUGACGCAGCAACGCCGCGUGAGGGAAGAAGGCCUUCGGGUCGUAAACCUCUGUCAGAGGGGAAGAAAACCCCAAGGAUCAAUACCCCUUGGGCUUGACGGAACCCUCAAAGGAAGCACCGGCUAACUCCGUGCCAGCAGCCGCGGUAAUACGGAGGGUGCGAGCGUUGUUCGGAAUCACUGGGCGUAAAGGGCGCGCAGGCGGCCGUUUAAGUCUGAUGUGAAAGCCCCGGGCUCAACCCGGGAAGUGCAUUGGAAACUGGACGGCUUGAGUACGGGAGAGGGAAGUGGAAUUCCGCAUGUAGGGGUGAAAUCCGUAGAUAUGCGGAGGAACACCGGUGGCGAAGGCGGCUUCCUGGACCGAUACUGACGCUGAGGCGCGAAAGCGUGGGGGAGCAAACAGGAUUAGAUACCCUGGUAGUCCACGCCGUAAACGAUGGACACUAGGCGUUGCAGGUACCCAUUCCCGCAGUGCCGAAGCUAACGCGAUAAGUGUCCCGCCUGGGGAGUACGGGCCGCAAGGCUAAAACUCAAAGGAAUUGACGGGGGCCCGCACAAGCGGUGGAGCAUGUGGUUUAAUUUCGACGCAACGCGAAGAACCAUACCUGGGCUUGACAUCCCGAUCGCACCUUAUGGAAACAGUGGGGUCAGUUCGGCUGGAUCGGUGACAG
rnacentral:rRNA from 1 species